UUUAAUCCUGUUCUGUCAUUUCAACGUAGCGCAUGAUGAAUCUGUUGGUUUGGUUAAUAGUGGCCUUUAAUCUGGGUUUAUGUUUAAAUACACCUAUCAAAAAAUCAAGUUUCAUUGGUGGUCCAAUGAUGGACCGAGGGUACUGGGUAGACAGGCGAUGCAGAUCUUAUAAAGGAGUGUGUAUAGAAGUUGACAAUCCUUGUGAAGGGAAAGUUAUUACAGGAUAUGGACUAUGCCAUGGUCGCCAUAUAAAGAAAUGCUGUGCCUACUUUUGAUAGACACAAGGUUAGAUCUUUAAAAUGAGAAAGAAAGGACGGAACUUGAUCGAUGGUUUUACAGUUAAAAAUUUACCACAUUAAAACUAAUUUCUUAUA